GAAUAGCUGUUGGAGUGUACCCAUUUGAAAACUGUAACAAUACAGGGUAGAUUAGCAUGACCCCUGCACAAGGAUGACAUGCAAAUUUGUGAAGUGUUCUGUAUGAAU